CUUUGAACGCAAGGGGGUGUUGUCGGGGUGAAGCCCCGCCUCCUCCAUUUCCGAGGCUGUUUCUGGGGCCUCUGACAGACCUCAGCGUGUGAUGGGCUCCCGGCGUCGCACUGUGAGAGACCGAAGUCUGCAAGCAGAUUUCAACAAAAUCCAAGAUUCUUCCAGGAACAACAGCAAAACCACUCUCAAUGCAUUUGAAGAAAUAGAGGGCUGUCUUCCUUUCUCUGCCAUCGUGGUGUGUUCUUGACUCCGCUUCUCGCCAUGUCUUCUCACAAGACUUUCAGGAUUAAGCGAUUCCUGGCUGAGAAACAAAAGCAAAAUCGUCCCAUUCCCCAGUGGAUUCGGAUGAAAACUGGAAAUAAAAUCAGGUACAACUCCAAAAGGAGACAUUGGAGAAGAACCAAGCUGGGUCUGUAAGGAAUUGCACAUGAGAUGGCACACAUAUUUAUGCUGUCUGAAGGUCACGAUCAUGUUACCGUAUCAAGCUGCAAAUGUCACCACUAUCUGGAGAUUUCGACGUGUUUUCCUCUCUGAAUCUGUUAUGAACACGUUGGUUGGCUGGGUUCAGUAAUAAAUAUGUGAGGCCUUUCGUUUUAAAAAAAAAAAAAAAAAAAAAGAAAAAGAAAUAGAGGAGUUCCCGGAAACGUCGGUGUAGAAGCAGAACCCAGAGCUGGUGUGCGCGUGCGCUGUCUGGCGCUGCAGGCGGAGUCACCGACUCUGUGCAGAGAGGAUUCGAGGGAUGAUGGAGUCUGGCUCUGCUGGCCUAGAAGCAGAGUGCACCCUCAUGCUCAGUGCUCAGUGGGUGUCUGAACUGAGGGGCAGUUGUCAGUUUGUCUGAGUGGGAAACAUCCUGGAUUUUGUUACUUGGCAAAGAGUUGGUGUAAACCUACAGCCAGCAGCAGUCUGGAGCCUGGGAGCCUCCUGAAGUCCUGGGUGAAGCCUCUGGUUUUACCAAUUGCAGGUCGGCUUGGCUGGGAGAGAUGGGUGGCGGGGAAGGGGCAGGAACCUUGAGGAGGAGGGAGAGGAGUCUUUCCUCCUACAGCUUCCCCCUGUCAGCCCCAACCCCAGCCCACACAUUGUACCAUCUCUCCUGCUGUGACUGGGUUGCCUGAAUUUGUGGGAGACCCUUGAUUCCAUCCCAGAGUGUGCGGGGGACGGAGGUAAGGCGGAUAUCCUGGGGGAGGAGGGGAAUGUGCUCUGGAAAUGCCCUUCUGGAACCCUUCAGGGAAAAGGAGACCAUCCUUGGAGUGAACGUCUCCUGACACCCCAAGGUUCAAACUUUCUCAAGCUGAGAGAUGUUUUUGGUAGCAUAAUUAACACGGGGUUUUAAUUUUCAAUAUGGAAAAGACAUUUCAUUUGAGAAUGAAAAUUACUACAAUGAAGUAUGUGAUUUUAAAAGUGGAGACAGAUUGGGGGCUUUGGGGCUGGAUGUAAGUAUUAUAUAUUUGGCCUCAGGGUGCCCAGAGCAAGACAAAAAGCUUUUCUUCACACACACAAAAGUCUGCAUGAGACAGCAAGUCCUGCUGGGCCGCUGCGAUCUGGGUGAAAGGGCCUGGCUCUUUUGUUUGUCUUGGCCUCGCAGUAGCCUCUGUGCUGGGAUUGUGGCUUCAGCUUAAGCAGAAAUAGCAGGUGCUCGAUCGAUACCAUCUUAGCACUCAGCAGUUAGUUGCAUACCUCAGUAUGUCUCGGUGGGGGAAUUUAACAAAAUGCCUCAACUGCUUUGGUAUGAAGUUUUUUUUUUUCUUUUAACUGUGAAUUUUGAAGCUGAAGGGGAAGCUUGUGAGAGAGAAGCAUCUGCCAAGACUUCGAGCUUAUUUUUAUGUCCUCAUCCUCUGAUGUUCUCCUUCUGAAAUGACACGGAGUCAGUCUGGGGGGCAGAGGUGAAGUGGAGACGGAAGGAUUUUCCAGGUGACCGGGGCCAAAACCACCAGAACAUCCACUCUGCCGCCACUGUCUGGUGAAAGGAUUCAUGUAAAAAUGUUCGAGGUGGAAUUAUAAAAAUAGUAACCAUAAGUGUUAAUCUUAAAUAGCAGAAAUAGAAACUUGGCCUUCAGAUAACAUGGCGAUUGAUUAGUUCAUCUGGCUUGAGGCAAACUGAGGAGUCCGGGCCUAGCAGUGCCCUCUGGGCCGGUUUCUCUGCCCUGGGCCACUCUGUGUGCCAGACUAGCUGGACAGAUAGAGACUCUGUGCCCCUGAUGGGGCUGGCUGGGGAGAGGUGGGCUGGGGUGUGUGAGGCUUCACCAUCCACAGCAGCCCCUGCCCUCCCAGCUGACCCAGGGAGUAACCGCACGCUCUAAGCCACAGUGGUCGGGGCUGGGCGUGGACCGCUGGAGAAGAGAAGAUUUGAGGGGGACUGUCCUAGAGGCAGGAGGAGCGGAUGUGUUCCAGAAUGGGCAGAACUAGGAAACUGAGAAAGAUUUUGGCUCAAUAGAAUCCAGCAACUGCUCCACAUGUUGGAGAUGUGUAAGCAGAAGCUGGUCGAGCACUUAAUGAGGAAUGUUGUUGAAAAUGAUCAUUGGAAGAAGUUUAAGAUCUCUUUUAGCCUGGAGAUUGUACAAAUCAGCAUUCCACAUCUGGAGUUAGCGACCCGCAUUAAGCCUGAACAGACAUCUUGGUCUGAAAGGAAGUGGUUUGGAUUCAUGACGCCACGCUCUACACUAUGGAGCUGGGAAUUCCAGAAUUGCUUUGACUCAGAUAUUAAUGGAGAAAGUUAUAUCCAUUAGUGGAUAAAGCCAUAUCUGUUAUGGAUAAAGCCAUAUCCAGAACUGCUUUGACUCAGAUGUGAAUGGAUAAAGCCAAUUAUUGAUUUCUAUUUGCCUAACCUGCCAGCUUUUGUCCCAGCGGCGAAUGGAGAGCCACACGGAUGUUUGUCGUCUCCCACGUUUUGGUGAUCUGCUGUCUGUGGGUCUCGAUGGAAUUUGUUGGCAAGACCGUUUUCUGUAUUGGAUAUUCUUCCCAACAGUGUCCACCCCAAAAGGCUUUCAGCCGAAAGGUCUGAGCCUAGGUAGGUUUACCAAGGGAAGCCAUGAGUCAAGAAGCAUCAGAGUGAAAAGGAUCACUUCCUUUAUUUUACCCGCAGGGGCUAAUGCUCCGAGAGGAAUGUGUACUUGGGCAAGGUCAUACAGGAAGGUCAUAUCAGAGCUGUGCAGGCUGGAGUGUCCUGAUUCUUGGACCACAGAUGUCUCCCUGAGCCAUUAUUUAUUUAUUUUUGAAAAGCACAGUUAUUCCAUCAUUUUGAGUCUUUCUUUGUAGUUGGCUUACAUUGGGGGGCAGGACUGUUUUCUCAGGUGUCUCAUUUGGCAGUCAGCAUUGUCCCCUAUGUUCCCUAUGACUAGCUGAAAAUUCAAGUGUGCCCAUAGGGGUGCACAAAACCACACCCACACCCACACCCCCACACACAUACCCACACCCCAUUAAACCCAUGGGUCUAUCAGGACAUCUUAAAACUCCGUGAUUGGCCGGGCGCGGUGGCUCACGCUUGUAAUCCCAGCACUUUGGGAGGCCGAGGCAGGCAGAUCACGAGGUCAGGAGAUCGAGACCACGGUGAAACCCUGUCUCUACUAAAAAAAAAAAAUACAAAAAAAUUAGCCGGGCGUGGUGGCGGGCGCCUGUAGUCCCAGCUACUCGGAGAGGCUGAGGCAGGAGAAUGGCGUGAACCUGGGAGGCGGAGCUUGCAGUGAGCCGAGAUUGCGCUACUGCACUCCAGCCUGGGCGACAGAGCGAGACUCUGUCUCAAAAAAAAAAGAAAAAAAAGAAAAAAACAGACAACCCCAUCAAAAAGCAGGCAAAGGAUAUGAACAGACACUUCUCAAAAGAAGACAUUUAUGUGGCCAACAAACGUGAAAAAAAGCUCAUCAUCACUGGUCAUUAGAGAAAUGCAAAUCAAAACCACAGUGAGAUACCAUCUCACGCCAGUCAGAAUGGUGAUUAUUAAAAAGUCAGGAAACAACAGAUGCUGGCGAGGCUGUGGAGAAAUAGGAACACUUUUACACUGUUGGUGGGAAUGCAAACUAGUUCAACCAUUGCGGAAGACAGUAUGGCGAUUCCUCAAAGAUCCAGAAGCAGAAAUACCAUUUGACCCAGCAAUCCCAUUACUGAGUAUACACCCAAAGGAAUGUAAAUCAUUCUACUAUAAAGACACAUGCACACAUGUUUAUUGCAGCACUAUUUACAAUAGCAAAGACAUGGAACCAACCCAAAUGCCCAUCAAUGAAAGACUGGAUAAAGAAAAUAUGGCAUAUCUACACCAUGGACUACUACAUAGCCAUAAAAAGGAAAGAGAUCAUGCCCUUUGCAGGAACAUGGAUGAAGCUGGAAGCCAUCAUCCUCAGCAAACUAACACAGGAACAGAAAACCAAACACCACAUGUUCUCACUCAUAAGUGGAGUUGAACAUUGAGAACAUAUGGACACAGAGAGGGGAACAACAAACACCAGGGCCUGUUGGGGGGUAGGGGGUGAGGGGAGGGAACUUAGAGGAUGGAUCAAUAGGUGCAGCAAAACACCAUGGCACACGUAUACCUAUGUAACAAACCUGCAUGUUCUGUACCCGUAUCCCCCCCCUUUUCUUGGAAGAAAUAAAAAAAUAAGAGGGCUCUAUCCAUCAUGGCUGUUGGCUGUCAAAUUAUUUUGAGUGAAUAGAAACCCAUGGUUCCACCUGGAGAACAGAGGGUAUAAAUCCCUCCUGUCCACCACACAGGAUUUUCAGGAGGAGGCACUGACAGAAUGGAUAGGAAAGAGCUGACGUUGUUACUAUCAUUAUUACCGAUCAGCCUAACUCAUAGGUAUAUGCAGUUCUUCAUUCCUUUGAGUUAUUUCAUAAGGAUGGCUGUUCUCAACUUGAACGCCAAGUCUUGAAUGCUUGUCUUGAUGGGUUGUGGAACUUGCAACCGAUUUGUUAAUAAGUGAAAUACUGCAUUUGGUGAAUUAUUUACUUAAUUCAGAUGAUUCCCAGAAUAACUUCCUUCACUGGGAUGUAUCUUGUUGAGUGGCAACAAAACAAGGAUUGUACGUGAUUCCCAUCCUAGCUUAAUAGGCGUUAGUCCAAAACCCAGGAAUGUGCCAUCCGUGGGGAUGUUUUGGGUGGAUGGGUAGAAAAAGGGUGGAAACCCUUGUCAUAGGAUAUAUUUCUGGGAAGGAGAUGCCUAGGUCAAUAGGUUUCAACAUUUUUAUGGUUCUUGAUACUGUGAAAAAUUACCUCCCCAAAGGAUUCCAUCAAUGUGUUCAGCCUUUGAGAUUGUAUGCUACACCGUUUACAGAGCUCUUUCGGUCAUGUUGGUUAUUGUUUUGUAGGUUUGGUGAGUGUCGUACCCCAGUUUAACAGGUAGGGAGAUCGAGACUUGGAGACAGACGGAAUGACAUGUGAAGUUCACAAUCCUUUUUCCUGGCCGGAGGAUCCAGGUUCUCUGAAGCUUAGUUGAGACUGAGCUAAAGUUAAUCUGCGGCGACGUUCUGGAUAUACUGGACAAACACCUCAUUCCAGCAGCUACCACUGGCAAGUCCAAGGUUUUCUAUUACGAAAUGUAGGUUCUAUACUAACAAUUAACAAGUGUACUUCAAUACAUUUAAACAUUCUCAGGAAUAAUUGGCUUUGUUUCUUUUUUUUCUUAGGCAUUUAAUAUUAUUUUCCUUAUUAAAUAUAACCAAAAAUCCCACAGAAAUUAACAAGAGGAGGAGCCUCUAAAUAUCAACAAAAUUAUCACUUGAUAGACUAGAAUUAAACAAGCAAAUGAUUCUAAGAAAUGGCACAAGUGUAUUCAUCAUAAAAUAAAAUUUCUACAUGAAACAUUCA